rnacentral:rRNA from 1 species
AUCCGGAAUCACUGGGCGUAAAGCGUCUGCAGGUGGUUUCCUAAGUCCACUGUUAAACCUUGAGGCUCAACCUCAAAUCUGCAUUGGAAACUAGGAGACUUGAGUAUAGUAGGGGUAGAGGGAAUUUCCAGUGGAGCGGUGAAAUGCGUAGAUAUUGGAAAGAACACCGAUGGCGAAGGCACUCUACUGGGCUAUUACUGACACUCAGAGACGAAAGCUAGGGGAGCAAAUGGG